AUGGAGCAGCUCAACCUAGAGGACGAAGAGUUCGAUGAUCUGGUUAUUGAGGAGGAUGAUCCUGUGAUCAACGAAGGUGUCCGCUGGCUCACCCUAGCCAAGGUUCACACGGAUAAAUCUUUUAGUCUGACAACGUUCUACAGAGAGAUGCAGGCGGCCUGGAAUCCGGCGAAACAAGUGAAGUUCAAACCCGUCGGACCGAACCUGUUUGUGGUCCAAGCGGAGUGCCUGGGAGAUUGGGAGCGGAUGGUGGAACUUGGUCCAUGGCUAUUCAGGAAUUGGGUAGUUCUCAUGUGCCCAUACGACGACUUUACUAAAGCUGAAGAAGUGCCAAUGCUAUUCAUGCCAAUUUGGUUGCAAAUCCAUAAACUGCCGGAAGGGUUUUGUAGAAGGAACAUUGUGGAAUCACUACUGAAAAAAUCUGGGGAGAUUUUAGAUAUGAGGUUAAACGGGAAUACCUGGGGGGACUAUGUGAGGGUUAGGGUUCGUCAUGAUAUCCGCCAACCCCUCACAAAACUUGUGAGUAUCGUCAGAGGAGGCGCGAGACAGGUGUACUUGGUCCGGUAUGAGAAACUUGCCCACUUUUGCAGUGUAUGUGGGCUGAUUGGGCACGACUUUAAGGAGUGCGGAUCUGGGGUUCAUGAGACAAAAGACAUGAAGUUUGGCAGCUGGCUGUAUGCAGAUGGUUCAAACAGAGCAAGAACUGAGGAGGUUGGUCGAGGUUUUGAUAACCAGAAACAGCAGCAGCGUACUCCAGCAAAGAAGGCUGUGAAGAAGGUCAAUGACCCGGACCUGGCCGAUACUGCAUCAAGCCCGACUAAGGUGUGUAUCAGGGACAUGCAGAUCGACCCCCCGGCUCGUAAAAGGCUGGCUAUGGAUAGUUCGCAAGGACAGCCUAGCACAACAACUACUAGUUUAGCUCUGACCCAAGGGCUAGGAGAAGACGAUGUUCCCUCGUCGCCUAGCAACAGCUCAAACAGUAAGAAGGCAAAGUUUGAUUCCCAAGAGUGUUCGGAUGAUAGAUCGGCGGCCUCCCUAGAGGAGGACCGCCGGGUGCAAUGA
rnacentral:rRNA from 1 species